rnacentral:rRNA from 1 species
UACGGAGGGUGCAAGCGUUAAUCGGAAUUACUGGGCGUAAAGCGCACGUAGGUGGUUUACUAAGCCAGCUGUGAAAUCCCCGGGCUCAACCUGGGCACUGCAGUUGGAACUGGUAAGCUAGAGUAGGGUAGAGGGGUGUGGAAUUCCAGGUGUAGCGGUGAAAUGCGUAGAUAUCUGGAGGAACAUCAGUGGCGAAAGCGACUUCCUGGACCAAUACUGACGCUCAUGUGCGAAAGCGUGGGGAGCAAACAGG